rnacentral:sRNA from 1 species
UGCAGCCUGUGACUUACUGUCUUCUGUUUUCUGUCUUUCUGUCUCCGUUUCCUGUCUCCCUUUCCUGUUUUCCUUUUCUCCCUUCGUCUCUUAUGCUUACUCAAUUCUCUCUAUCUGGCUUCCAUUUACUUCCUUCUAUGUCAGGAUCUGAUGACUCAUCAUACUGCGUGCCGGCGCGGCUGCUUGCUGAUUAGUGGAGUUGUUUCAAUUUCUAAUUUCGUUACCGAACCCUAAAAACCUAGGCUUGAAGCCUGAUCAGAUUCAUCGCCAUUUUCCAUUUUUCGCUCGCGCAAGCUCGCUUCCAGCACAACGUUCCCUCCCGGCCCGACGUUCAUCUUUUGUGUCUUUUUUCAUUCCUAUAUUACUCGAUCAAAACUCACCAUACAGUUUUGAGACUUGUAUGAACUGCCGCGACCUUAUGCAUCCAACGGUACCAUGCAUGCAUUCUUUGAAGAUAUGGAUC